rnacentral:rRNA from 1 species
UGCGUAGGCGGAUUAAUAAGUCAGUGGUGAAAUCUUUCUGCUCAACCGAGAAACUGCCAUUGAUACUGUUAAUCUUGAGUUCGGUUGAGGUAGGCGGAAUGUGUAAUGUAGCGGUGAAAUGCUUAGAUAUUACACAGAACACCAAUUGCGUAGGCAGCUUACUAGACCGACACUGACGCUGAGGCACGAAAGCGUGGGGAGCGAACAGGAUUAGAUACCCUGGUAGUC